CAUGGGAAAAAAAGAGAAACAGAGACCGAGAAGGAGAAAAAGAGAGAAACGCAGGGAAAUACAAAGCUCCGUGACGGCAGGGGAGACAACACUGUCUACGAGUUCAGGGUAUUUACUCCAGCCUGAACAGGAAUUCCGGCAUCUUGAAGUGAGUUUGAGUUGCUUCUAAUGUGAAGUCUGAAUAUAUUGUAUCUGGAAAGUUAUCUGUUGAUAUAGUUGUACCAGAUUGUGCAUGGAUAAUUUUGAGUGUAUAUUCAGUCGUGUCUAUUUUGUGCUGUUAGGAAUAAGUCCACUACUGUUGUCUUGUUUUUUUUUUAUUUGA